rnacentral:lncRNA from 1 species
AUGGUAGGAGCAGUGGUGACUUGGCUGAUGAACUACAAGCCAUUCUUGUUUGGAUUCCUAUUUCUUCUGUUAUUGCUUAGCAACUGGCUGGUCAAGUAUGAGUCCAAAGCCACCCCCUCAGAAACCCCACAGGAGAAGGCAGAGAAACCAAAGACAAGAGAAGCUGGCCCCAAGAGCAACAAUGCCAAAAACAUGAAAGAAAUAGAGAAAAUGCAUGCCCACUUUGCCCUCCAGGACAAGAUCCUUGAACGGCUUUUGUUCAGCGAGAUGAAGAUGAAGGUGUUGGAAAAUCAGAUGCUCAUCCUAUGGAAUAAAAUGAAUCGCUGCAGGCCAUCAAGCAGAUAUCAUCAUUUCCCCAGGAAGAAACGCAUACUGGAGAGUGCCGUUGCAGUGGUGUCAAGCCUCCGCCACACGAUCUCACGUAGGGGACAAACCAUAUCCAACCAUAGCACCCUGUGAAUCUCAGCCGGAAGCUGUUGAAUGUUCUUAGUGAGCCAUAUGGGAGAGGUACCAAGGAUCCAGGAGGAUGAGAGCCUGAAAGGUCAUCCGUGAAGAACAAACCUGACCACAGCAGGUCAACCAGGUAGCAGAUGGCAUAGCUGAUGGGGCUCUGGAGCCCACCCCUUCCUCUUUCAGUUGGGUGCCUCUCCAUGGCCCAGGGCCAUAUGCCAGGUCCCAGUGAGUCUCCCCACUGCUGCCCAGCCGGCACCCACCCCCUAUAGGCCAGAGUGAGCCCUGCCAAGAACCACCUUGACCAUAAUUCUUGCCUGUCACUCAGCCAAUGUCCCGCAUCCCUGGUUGACAGAAUAAAACCUGUCCUCCUUCCCAUGGUUCCCAGGCCCCUUUCCAGCCUUUCUUCCCCUCCAUUACUCCCCGUACAGCUUUAAACUUUCCACUAGGGUGUCCUGUAUGGCAGGGCAAGAGGUUUUUGCCAGAGGCAAGAACCAUCUGAAUGUGUAACUCAAUAGUAUCCCUUUAAUCAACUCUCUUUUUCUUAAAUACAUUUAUCUGUAAGAGAAAAAACACAAAUAAACAACAGUAUCUUUUAAAAACCAAAACUAUCAUUGGCUUAAAUAGGACACAACUGCAAAAAUAAAGACAAUGAAAACAAAACCAUGUUAGGUUCCAAGCAGAGCUUGAGUGCUCACUGAAAAAUUGGAGUUUUGUGAAUUUGGAGUUAAAAAGUGAAAUUAGCUGCUAUAGUGACACAGACCUGUAAUCCAAGCACUCUGGGAGGCUGAGGCAAAAAGACUGCA